GCCGGUUUGGCGGAGCAGCUACGCGAGAGACUGCAGAUCUCUUCUACCAGGGUGCAAAUCCCUGAGCCGGCUCCA
rnacentral:tRNA from 1 species